AUUUGUUGUGACAAUCAAAUUUACAUUCAAAAUAGUUACAAAUCCUCUCAUUUAAUUUUUGUACUCUAAAUGCAACUGGAAAUACUAACAAGUCAACAGACAGAAUAUUGUCAUUUGUGCAAAUGUCUUUCAUACUACGAUGUUGGCAACCUGAAUGUUCAAAAUGAAGACAAACUAGCACAUUACUUUUUUUCCCUGUGAUAUUGAGCAAGCAACAUAACUUUCUGUUUUCAUCAUAAGUUUCUGUUUCCUAGUCAAAGCACUGCCCACAAAACAGAAAUGUCCGAGGGUGAUCUGACCAUCGCUUGAAAAAGGAGUGACAAAAACCCUCUAUAAUAGAAGAGAACCUCAAGAUUUCAACAUUUUCUGAAGGGAGUUGCAAACAGAUGUAGAAAACUGCUUUUCAAAUUUUCCACAUUUAUCACAGUUAUUUUAAGAUGUUGACAUCCAAAGAGUAUAGGCAAGAGUGGGAACAGUUGCAACAUUGCUGAUUUCUCCAAUUUCUCACUUCUGGAAGAAAUCAGCCACAUGUGCCUAUUCCUUACACACAAAACUCAUUUCAAGGUAAAAAAUAUUUUUUAUGAUCAGAGUUUUUGUCACACCGCCUGAACAGUUUGUUCAAGGAAUUCUAAAGUAAUAUAAUUUUAAUCUGUGUUUUCUCAAGUCUCAAUUUAUUUAUAAAGCACGAUUAAAAACAACUCCAGUUGACCAAUGUGCUGUACAAUGAUAUAAUGACUAAUUAAAAAAAAAACACAAAUAUACAAACCACAUCAACAUCAGACAACAAACAUCAUCACGAGUCAUAGGCCUUAGUAAAAAAGUAUGUUUUUAACUUUGAUUUAAAAAUAUGUAAUGUUGAUGAUAUUCUUAUAUGAAGCGGUAACGUGUUCCAAAGUUUAGGUGCGGCUAUGGCAAAAGCUCGAUCGCCCCUAGAUUUUAAUUUGGACUUUGGAACAGUUAACAGAUUCUGGUUGGCAGACCGAAGAGUUCUUUCUGGACGAUAUUCACACAACAGAUCCGAGAGGUAGAGGGGAGCGAGUCCAUUUAACGAUUUAAAAACGAGAAAAGCACUUUAAAUUCAAUUCUACACUGUACCGGAAGCCAAUGUAAAGACAUUAGCACAGGAGAAAUAUGUUCGUAUUUAUGAACACCGGUUAACAGACGCGCAGCGGAAUUUUGGACCGUUUGUAAUCUCGCUAUUAACGAGCUAUUUAUUCCCAAAUACAGCGCAUUACAAUAAUCGAUUCUGGACGAAAUAAAAGCGUGAGUUGCAUCUUAAUUGGUAAAAACUCGCUUUUACAACUGCAUUUAUAUCACAUUUAAGUGCACUAUCGAAGAAUACACCUAAGUUUUUUACACUUGAUUUGACCGAAGAAGAUAAAAUACCAGAAUUUCCAAAAUAAUUCUCCAGAACAUCAGGCGAGCCAAACACAAUGGUCUCCAUUUUCUUCUCAUUCAGAUUUGGCUACGGAAGCUUCUAAUUGGAAUAGCUAUCAUGUGUCUAAGAUAUUCUGUUAAGUUUGCAUAGCAAGUUUUAUCAUGGCUGUCAGUGUAGGGACAGUUGCAACAGCAUGUCAUCAUAACGUAACAAAACAGUAAUAUUAUGCAUUAAUAAAGAAUCCUUUCAAAUAGUCCAGUAUUUAAACUAAAUAGAUUUUUAAUCAUUAGAUUAGGCCAUAAUGUAGCCCACUUGUUUUGUAUUUUUAGUAUCUCACUAGAGAGAGCAUGUGACAGAUGGGGUGUCCCUCUACCUCUUCUCAGAUCAGCAGCAAAUAUAAUAAAUAAAUGUUGCAACUGUCCGUAUAGCUAGCCGUGUAACAAACAUGUAGAAAUAUCAAAUGAACUAAUCUCAAAUGACUUUCUGUGUGACACUGUACUGUAUAUUCUUUAUAUUUGAAUAGACAUAGUCAAAUGUUGCAACUGACCCCACAAUAGGGGCAGUUGCAACAUUUGACUAUGUCUAUUCAAAUAUAAAUUUUACAAAAAAUAUAAUAUAUACACACGUUAUAACAGUGUGGUUGAGUAGCUGCAGAUGUGUAUAUUGUAUAAAAAUCUUGGUUUUCUAAUGCAACAGUCUCUGAGAAACUUAAGGAAAUGCAAAAAGUGUUGCAACCGUCCCCACUCUCCCGCCCAGCUGGUGCAACCGGCCCCAGAACAAAAUUUAAACUGCAACAAGACGUCGUCUGUCUGAGGUAAAGACACAAAAUCUAAAGAAAAUAAAGUCUGCAGCAGUCUGCCUUGAUGCGUUCAUUACACAAUGACGAGCAGCAUUCAAUGCAGAUCAAGAUGGUUUCAGUACAGUGUCACACAGAAAGCCAUUUGAGUUUAGUUCAUUUGAUAUUUCUGCACGUUGUUACAUGGCUAUUUGCUAUACGAGUAAAUAUAUAGAGUGAACAUUUUUAUUUAAUAUCUUUUAUUAGCUUAUCCGUAAGAAAAGUAAACCUUCUGUGAGGGAUAAACCUAAUGUAUGUAGCUAAGCCAAGACGGGUUAAAACAAGUUCAAAGUUCAAACAAGAUGAACAUUCAGUGCAUUCAUUUGUAAAUUAAAAUUCAUAUAUGUGAUUAAUUAUGCAUAUUUGAACUGUAUUUAUUCAAAUGUAUUAAACGGUGCCAGUUAAGAUGACUCGCAGUACCCGGAUGAGGCUGUUAUUUUUACUUCAAAACAUUAUAACAAAAAAAAAAAAACGUGCAUAGGUUUUCACCUUGUAUGCACGACUUUUAAUAUUGUAAAUAGUAAUAUUGGAGUAAAGCUUGUUUUUAUGUUAAAAGAAUAACUUAAUUUAGUUCUGACUUAAUUAGUUGUACACAUUGCUGAAAUCAGCAACAUUUAAUUACAAGA